GGUCAGGGGGGCCCUCGUCCGCGGCGCCUCACGGCGUCGCCGGUGCGGGGGUUUCUUUGUGCCGCGGGGCGGUGUCCGUCGCCGGUGCGGAAGGCGGGCCGUUGGAGGGGACCGGGUACGGCGGUCGGCGGCGGCGACUCUGGACGCGUGUCGGGCCCUUCUCGCGGAUCACCCCAGCUACGGCGCCCGCUGGGGGAACCCUCCGUUCGCGCGGGGGGGCCCCCUCCGGCGGUGCGCCUCGGCU
rnacentral:misc_RNA from 1 species